GCAGACAAACAUGUGUCCUUGCUCGAGGCACAGCACGCGGUGAACCUCCGUGGCCAGCUCUGUCCUCAGGAGGUCCUUCUAGCCUCUGCUCCCCACAGCAUGGCCCCCACCUGGCUGAGGGCCUCCAGCUCCUGCUGUUCGCUGGACUCUUCUGCCAGAGUGCUGAGAAGUCGAAGGAGGCGAGGGCUGGGCGGAGAAGUGAUGUCCAGGAAGAAGCUCAUUUGGCCACUAUGAUAGGGCCCUGACUUGUCACACCUGCUUGUCUGAUGAGUACUGACGCCACGUCCCCGAGAGCACGCUGUUCGGCAUAUAGUAGUACCUCAGUGAACACAGCUAUGAACUCGGACCUGAGUCUGGAUUCUCUCGGGACCUAACAUCUUCUGUGUCUCAGUUUCCCAUCUUGACCCUUCAAUUAGGUUCCAGCAAAGAUUAAAUAAGAUACUUCUGUUUUCAGAGGCGGGGUCUUUUGUAGCCCAGGCUGGCCUCUAACUUGCAGUGUAAAAAGGGAUGGCUUUGAACUUCUGC